UCCUCGAUAGCUCAGUUGGUAGAGCAAUCGGCUGUUAACCGAUCGGUCGUAGGUUCGAGUCCUACUCGGGGAGCCA
rnacentral:tRNA from 14 species